rnacentral:rRNA from 1 species
AUGGCCGCCCCCGCCUCCUACGACCGCGCGGCCGAGCUGCGCGCGCUGGACGCGACCUUCGCCGGCGUCCACGGCCUGGUAGCCUCCGGCGCCACGCACGUCCCGCGCAUCUUCCGCGUCCCCGACCAGCCUUCUCCCCAGCAACAACCGCCCCAAGAACUGACGACGACGGCGCCCUCCGUCCCGGUGAUCAACAUCGCCGACCCGGACCGCGCGGCCACGGUGGCGUCCGUGCGCCGGGCCGCGGCGGAGUGGGGCUUCUUCCAGGUGACGGGCCACGGCGUGCCCCCGCGGUCGACGGCCGCGGCGCUGCGCGCGGUCCGAGGCUUCCACGAGGCCCCCGGCGGCGAGGGCAGCGACAAGGCGCGGCUCCACUCGCGGGAGCCCGGCAGGGCCGUCAAGUACCACUGCAACUUCGACCUGCACCAGUCGCCCGUGGCCAACUGGCGCGACACCCUCUACCUCCGCAUGGCCCCCGACCCGCCCCUCGCCGCCGACCUGCCGGAGCCCUGCCGCGAGGCGCUGUUCGAGUACGCGGAGCAGGUGAAGGAUCUGGGGGACGCCCUGUUCGGGCUGCUGUCGGAGGCCCUGGGCCUGGACCGGAGCCGUCUGACGGACAUGGAGUGCAACCAGGGGCAGAUCAUGCUGUGCCACUACUUCCCGCCGUGCCCGGAGCCGGCGGCCGCCAUCGGCACCAGCCCGCACUCCGACUCCAGCUUCCUCACCGUGCUCCUCCAGGACGGCGUCGGCGGCCUCCAGGUCCUCCACGAGGGCCGGUGGGUCGCCGUCCCGCCCGUCCCCGGCGCGCUCGUCGUCAACGUCGGCGACCUCCUGCAGCUGGUCUCCAACGACGGGUUCCGGAGCGUGGAGCACAGGGUGGUGCUGGCGGCGGGGGGCGAGCCGAGGGUGUCCAUCGCGUGCUUCUUCAGCACGCACUUCCACCCGGCGUCGACGCGGGCGUACGGCCCCAUCGGGGAGCUGGUGUCCGGCGGCAGCCCGGCGCUGUACAGGGAGACGCUGGUGAGGGACUACGUCAAGCACUACUACGCCAUCGGGCUGGACGGCAAGACCGCGCUCUCCGUUUUCCGGCUAUGA